rnacentral:lncRNA from 12 species
GAGGAAGAAAAAACUAAGCCGAGAAACUCAUCUAGCGUGCACGUCAGAGCGGAAAUGAGAGUCAUUGUGAUGCCUGACGCCGGGCCGCUGCCAAAGCCGGGGCUGCUUGCAAAGGCACAUUGUUUCCUGUGACAUCCCUGCGUGCCUGCGACAGGCAGAAGGCAGGGGCACGGGGUGGGGGGUAGUAGAGCCCCAGAACUGGCUGAGCCCUGGCCUGGUGCCCUCAGACCGGAGCCAGAAGCUUCCCGUGCCUUCAGGAGUAGGAGCCCCCAAGGAACCAUACAUGCUUCCCUCUUCAAGAUUCUACGGAGAUAAACACUAUUAUCUUCAUUUCACCCACCAUUAUUACCUCCAUUCUACGGUGAGAAAAGUGACAUUCAGAUGGCCAGUCACAACCCUAAGUCACAGAGCUAGAAGACAGAGCUGGCAUUCCUGGUGGCCUGAGUUUCAAGCCCACAGGUGAGUCACAGCUCCCAUGACUCCCUCAGGAAGGCUUUUCUAGAUCUUUCAGACUAGAUAGAUCUUGUACACCGCCUUGGAGACUUUGUACAUGGGUGUCUUUGUCAAUGUGCUGACAGCCUUGCAGAACAACUCCAGCUGUUGAUGGGCCUGUCUUCUUGCUUAGACUAUUUGUUGCUUAAAGACAUGGGCUUUGUCCUAAUCAUCCCUAGUCAUUGGAACAGGCUCUGGCAUUAGUAAAUGCUCAAUAAACGCUCACCUCUUUGCUGAGUUACUGAAUAA